CCUACGGGAGGCAGCAGUCGAGAAUCAUUCACAAUGGGGGAAACCCUGAUGGUGCGACGCCGCGUGGGGGAAUGAAGGUCUUCGGAUUGUAAACCCCUGUCAUGUGGGAGCAAAUUAAAAAGAUAGUACCACAAGAGGAAGAGACGGCUAACUCUGUGCCAGCAGCCGCGGUAAUACAGAGGUCUCAAGCGUUGUUCGGAAUCACUGGGCGUAAAGCGUGCGUAGGCUGUUUCGUAAGUCGUGUGUGAAAGGCGCGGGCUCAACCCGCGGACGGCAUAUGAUACUGCGAGACUAGAGUGAUGGAGGGGGAACCGGAAUUCUCGGUGUAGCAGUGAAAUGCGUAGAUAUCGAGAGGAACACUCGUGGCGAAGGCGGGUUCCUGGACAUUAACUGACGCUGAGGCACGAAGGCCAGGGGAGCGAAAGGGAUUAGAUACCCGGGUAGUC
rnacentral:rRNA from 1 species